AAGAUUAUGACAAUAAUUGAAGCGACAUUAGAAAAAUAAAAUUCCAGACAAAUUAUCUUUUUGAAGACUAGGCAGCAUGGUCUCCGACCUUAGCCUGUUCCAAACGGAACAAACGUACUAAAAAAAAAAAAAAAAAAAAAAAAAUGUAAUUGUUUAAGGGUUCAUUGACAUCAUACUCGAAAUCCAAAAGUAAUCGAUUAACAGUUUCAGAAUAAAGAUCCCAAUUAACGAGACAUGCUGCAACGCUCAGAAUUCUUACAGAAUUUAGCUAAAUGUCCAUACCUCAAGCACCGGUAGCAUUGUUUAACUGGUGGUAUAUAUGGAGUGACAUUGUGGCGCCAAUCUCCAAUAUCCAGAUAUUCAGGUAAUACAGAUGCAGCAAAAGUAAUUGUCACGGUUAGAGUUGGCUGUAACACAUAUCCAUGAGUCAAGAUUCUGAGUCAGUAGAAGUAUCUUCCGAAUAUAUAUCCUUGUCAUUACAAGGUUCAUGGUCUACAUCACCUGAAUCGUCAUCUUUUUUUUUCCUUUUCCUACAACUGCGCUUCCCCAUGAAUGCUAAUUAUAUUACUGUCACUGAAUUUAGUGAAAAUAUAAUAUUUUAUUCAAUAAUAAGAAUUGAUAGAGAUAGUUUUUAUAAAUUAAUAAAAAAAAUUUAAAAAACCCGCUUGUUCUUAUUCGAGUUUCCCGCCUUUUUUUUCCAUAGUAAAACUGUCA